rnacentral:sRNA from 1 species
CAUUUCUAUUUCAAUAAUAAAUAGAACUUUGUCUGAAUUCUAGAUGAUCACUGCAGAGUUCAUCUUAGCGUCAACACAGAGAAGAAACAUGGGGAUUACAUAAAUGCUUCCUUUGUCAAGAGUUACAAAAAGAAUGAAAAGUUUAUUGCUUCCCAAGGACCAAAUAAAGUUAUUAUAGAAGACUUUGUACGCAUGUUGUGGGAACAGAAAGUUGAUAAAGUGGUCAUGCUAACCAACUUAGUGGAAGAAGCAAAG